CAGGCUCAUCAGACCUGGGGACCAGGUGUCUUUGAGAGCCAGGCUCACUGCUUCUGCUGGGGGCAGGCCCCAGGGCCACAGCCUUGCCCAGCACCAUCAGGCUGUCCAGUCUGUGUGGAAGUGCUCUUUACCUUUAAAGAAUUGAGCUGGUUCUUUUUUUUUCCCUUGAAGAAAAUGCCUGGAGUUUCAGAGAUGGACAUGCCGAAGGCAGUGCUGGAGCUUGUACUACUGCCCAGCCCCUGGCCUGGUCCACAUCUCCUGUGGCCUUUGCUCUGAAGCUCAUUGUUGGGAUCUCUGGCCAUCCCGUCAGCCCUUUCCAGCCCCUGAUUUGCCAGAAAAGCCCUCCACAGAGGCUCAGUGGGCUCUGGCCUCAGCCCUUGAACUUUCCCAUCAUGGAAUACCCUGGACACCUCAGAAAUGAGCAGAGUAGGCUGGGGUAGCAGGCUCUGCAGGUUGGUCCCUGCCUAUCCUGCUGUGAGGAUCCUGCUGGGGGCUGGCAAGAGGGCAGGUGAGGCUCCAGGGCCUCCCUGGAGACCCUGCUCCCAGGAACAACGCUGGCCAAUGUUUUGUUGUUUGCUGUGUCCACCAUGGUCAGCUCUUCCCUGUCCCAGGCACCUGGAGGAUCACUACACUGGUGGCUGCACCCAUGGCUCUCCCUCCUGUGUGCCCCGCCUUGCACAGUGGUACUGAGGUCUCACUGAACGCAGUGGAGCCCACCCAGGCCCUGAGCCUGUUGGACUGUGAAGCAAGUGCAUCGCAAGCUCGGGGACUGGAGGCACUAGUGCCCUGCAGACAAGACCCACCGUGGGUUGCUGCUGCGUGCCUGCUGGGAGGGCCACUGGGCCUCUCCUCGCACCCCCCCACCCCUACUGACCCUCAGUUUUACCAGCAGCGCAUGCACCUGUUGCUUCUUGUGUGGUUUGUGUGCAAUCUGCUGUGUCCUGCCACAGCUGUGCUUGUCACAAUGCUGGCAAGGCCACCAGGUCCUGGGUGUGUCCGCCUUGAGGGUUUGUAGCUAUCUGGGUCUGAGAUGGGCCUUCAAUUUGGAGAGCCCUGCUGGGUAGGUAUGUGUCUCUGUAGAGGGCCAGUCUCAGGACUUCCUGAGCCGGGUGUGUGUGUGUGUGUGUGUGUCCACCACUCAUCACUGGGGGAGCAGCCUGCCUCAGCUGCCUGAGCUCUGGGCACAGCUUGCAUCCCUGUCCCAAGGCCUAUCCCCAGGUGGGAAGGGUGGAGUGCCCUGGUUCAGGGCCUGCAGUGUAUACCAGCACUCCUUAGGAAAUGGGCCAUCUGCCCUGGGGUUGUUGGGAGUGGAAGAUGGCACCUGCUAGCUGGUCCCCAUUUAAGCUUGCUUCUAGGAAGCACUGGCCACUGCCAAGACCCCUCACAGGAGAGGACAGACUGUUUUGCUGAGUCUGAUCCCUCACCAAAGGGAGUUCCAUAAAGCACAUGGGAGCAGGGCCCUGGUGAGCCCUAAAGGGUCGCUUCCUACAUGGCUAUGGGUGGAUGGGAACCCCAUGGAGUGUAGUCCUAGAGGGGGCAGUGAGGUUGCCGCAGACAUCCCAGGCAGCAGAUGUCCAUGUCGUGGGCCUGUGCUGUUUGUCCCAGAUGUCUACUCUCACCCUAGGCACCAGCCUGACUAGUAGAUACCUCAAGGCCAUUUCUUGAGUUCCUAAUAGAUUGGCAUACUGGGCAGCCCCUCAUUACACCCAUUCAACUGUGUUGUCACCCCCAACCCCAACUAACCCAUGCUGGCAGGGCCCAGGUGCUGCCCAGCAGGAAGAAAAACCAAGCUGAAGAUGGCCUGGUAGGAUUGGCUUGAUGAAUGAACAGGGGCAGCUGGGAGGAGGACUGGUCCUGCCCUGUUCCAACCAGCUGGCGGGAGGGUUGAGGGUCCAUGGGAGCUUUUCCUGCAGGCCCUUGGGGUUACCCUACCCCCAUUGGUGGGUUAGAGGAAGAGGGGUCUCUGGCAUGUGACCCCAGAGCUCACCUGACUAGUAAGAUCUGAAGGGCACUGGGAGCUUUGAGGGAUCUCUGGGCAGGUCUGGGGAUGAAAAGGCACAGGACUCCCCACAUGAAGUCACAUUGCUGUGAGCCAGAAGUGCCUGAGGUUGUUGGGCCAUCUCUGCAGUCCCUGCUGAGGGCCUGGGGCUGUUGGGCUGACAUGGAGACAUGGGUGGUGUCAGUGAGGCAUCAGGGAAGCAGGUUGUCCUUCUGUAGUGGGCCAGUCACUGGCCAGGCAGCUGGGGGCUGGGUGUGACUCCCAAACCUUUCCUGGGGGAGGGCAGCUAUGGUUGAGCAGCCUACCCCAGCCCCCAAGAUCUUGGGGACCCCACAAUGGCUGUGACUACAGACAUUAACCUCCCCCUGACUCUGCAGAGUAUCUUCAGGGACAUGGCCCAGGACAGAUAGACUGAGUUCUUGUUGGGUCUGGUGGGGGAUGGGGGUCCACUUAAGCACUGGUCACAGGCUGGCCUGCAGGGGAACUGUGGGCCAUUGAGAGGUGCAAGGAGGGCUUCACUGGGGGCAGUGUUCACCAGACCUGUGCAGAGUGGAGGGUCCUGGGGAACACUGGAUUUCAGGUUCUGGGGCACAAUAGGAGGGGGGAAGGAAGUAGAGGCUGGGUGGCCUCUUCCCUGAUGGCAUCCUGAGAGCUGUUCCAGCCUCUGCCCUUCACAUAAGCUGCCAGAGAGCCCUAACAUCCAGCACCCACUAGUUCAGUGCCCAGGGCUGCAUGUGGCCUUUGUCUCUAAGUGGCCUCACCUGUGAGCUUCUCUUCAGGGGCUAAGCCCUCAGGGAAUGAGGAGUAAGGUGCUUACACACUUGCUAUCCCUGGUAGUUUCCCUGAAUGUACACUGGGGUCCUUUGUGCUGGGACCACUAUCUCUCCUUGGAUAUGCCCCAGGCAACAGCACAGAGGAAGGUGGGGACUGGUGGUGGCAGGGCUUGAAUAUUGGGGGCGGGGCCUUUCAUAAGCCCUGUCCUAACUGGCCACAGCAGGACCAGAAUGGAUCAGAAGGCCCUGGGGAGUGAGGGACGCCGUGCUUGCAGCAGGAGGAGGUCGGUGACUUGCCUGCAGUCCUCAGCUGAGUGGACAGGGGAACCACUCAGGUCUGUGAGGGUGCCCUUGACCUUUCAGGAAGAUUGGGAUAGGAGAUGAGCUCUUAGGUGGGCAGCAGGGCCAGGGUGCAGCCUGGAGACUUGGGCUAUCCUGAGUUCUCACUGACCCUUCUCACAGGGAAGGUGAUACCCAGCAGAAAGGGUGGGGAGGUUUCAGACUUAGGUGGAGUUCAGGGGCUUAGGAGUGUUGGGGGCUGUCCUGCUGGAUCCUUUGUGGCCAGAUAGGACCCAGCCCACAGCUGCCUCUCCUCCAGGCCACUGGUGCCAGGGUCUCCUUAUGUUGGUUGCUCAGUACUGGCUUGGCACCCCAGACUUGGUGCAUUCCCAUGAAGGGGAUAAGGUCCAGGAUGGGGCCGUGUGGCUAGCAGCCUUUCCACAGGCAGGGUCUUCCCUUGGGGGUGGGGGGAUGUUGCUUGGUGGGGAUACCCCUGAGCACAAGCUGGGAGAGGUGUGCAGUGGGUGGUCUGCUGCUCAGCUGGGUGGGGUUGGAGGGUCUGGGUCAGUCAGGACUUGGAGGAGGACCCUGGCCCCACCAUGGAGGCUGUGGGCUGUGCUGUCACCUGCCCUCUGCUCAGCACAAAGAAUCGGGGGCCUCAUCUGUGAGCAGUGCUUUCCUCUUCCCUAAGGCUGGAGUCAGUGUGCUGGUCAGGGCCCUCAUCCCAGCCAGCCAGCACGGGUCUGUCCACCAGCCCUGGGGACAGGUCGCCUCAGCUCGCAUGUCCCAGACCAGGUUGUUUUUGUGCCCUGGCCCCUCCCUGCCCCUGUAGCAGUCCCUAGGUCACCCUGGCCUUCUCAACUGUCAGCCCUCUGGGUACCCUGUCUGACUUUGGUUCCCAGGCCCCCCACAUUCACACAGCCCUGGCAAGUGCUGUCCCAGAAGCACCUGCUGCUAUUCUCGUUCACCUCCUAAUGUCUCAGAUACCCUUUCUGCUUUGAGGCUGGGCCUGGCAGAGACCCUCCAUGUGUCCAAUGAUCAGACGAUGUCCCCAGCCUGAGGACCCCCAUGAGCAGCAGUCCAUAACCACUAUAAGUUUGGGGCGAGGGGCAGCUGGGGGUUCAAGGUCCUGUUGUCACUCAGUUGUCUAGCUGUGUGCAUCCACUGUGGGUGUGAACACCAGGAGCAGGAUGGGAAGGCCCCCAGUGCAGCCUCAGCUUUGGGUGGCAGCAGGGAACAGCAUCCAAAGGUCACCAGCCUCUGGGCCCCCAGAAGGGUUUGUGGGACUUGUCUGCGUGGCUCACAGAGGCACGGAGGACAAAUUCUGGCUGUGUGGUCAGUGGGGACUGAUGGGUGGGUGGAGGUGAAGAGUCAAAGCUUCUCCUCCCACAGGCUGUGCACCAUGAGCCCCCGAGCCCGCCUCCACAUCUGCCUCUGGCUGUGGCUGGGUACCACCUUGGCACAUGGGCUGGGACAAGGUAAGGGGGUCCUGGGGACAGUCCCCACCCCUGCAGGACAAGUCCUCUGUGGUGAGCUCUUGGCUUCCUUCCAGCGAGUGUUGUCAGAGUCAAGGCUGCUCAGUUAAGAGGCAGUGACGGCAGAGCAGGCAGGCGGAGGGGACUCACUCCCGUGAGUCUCACCUCAGCGUCACAGUGGCCUGCAGUCUCCCCCGGCCUUGGGGUGCUUUUGUGUUUUGUGUUUCUCUUUUCAUUCCCUCCUCUCUGCAGUUGUUCAUUCUCUGUCACAUUCCUGUUUUGCUUAGCUAUGUCGUGACUGCCUUUCAGCAUGGUUUCCAGACAGCACACAUCUUGAUAAGGGGCCCCUGCCUCUCCUGCACUGUCCUCUGAGGUCUCUGGGUGGGGCAGGGACACCUCCACUUGGCCCUUGCCACCUAUCUGCUGUCAGCUUCUCAGUGUUGACUCCCUGGGGAACAGCACACGGGCCUGGGGAAGGUGUAUGCUGGAGGUGCCUCCCUGGGAAAAGUCCUGGCCCAGUGGGUUUUUGGAGGCGAGUUUCUGUCAACAGAACCACUGUAACUCAGUUCAUGCCGGGACCUUGCUUCCCUGGCGGGGUGGAAGUAACCCUCUGUGGCAGUCCAGGCUCUACAAACUGCUGUUCUCAUUCUUGGUGGCCCCUUGUCCCUGUCUGCAUCUGCAGGUUCUGGGUCAACCUCAACAUCUGGCCCCGCUUCCCACACGCCCACCAUGGAGCCAUGGGGCAACUCGAACCCAGGUCUGGUCUGGGGCCUUGCCGGUUUCUGGUUUCCCAGCCAGUACUCUCUGGUGGGGAGGCACCUGGACUGACCUUAGCUCCUCCUGCUCAGAAUAACCCAAAGAGAUAAAUCUUGGACAGGGACCAUGAUUUCAGUUAGAAAGGAGCCUCCCUUGUCAGUUCGAGCCAAGUCACAAAGCAGUUCUACCAAGACAAUGUGCUCAGGUGAAGGCAGGGACGUCACCCUGUCUAGUGCAGGUUCUCCCAGGGUGGAAGCUUGGGCAGGCCCCCAACAUGUCAGAGGCAGAGUGGAGGAACAAAAGAUUCUUCAUGGGCAAGAGUGGGGCUCUGCCCACAGCUGGUGCUUCAGAGCCCCCUCCUCAUCCCCACACAUCCUGCCUUUCAGCAGGAGGCUUCCCGGGCAUCCAGGACCCUUUGGACCCAUCUAGAGACCAGCUCAGCUGCUUCCUGUUCUGAAUGGGUUAUUGUGUCUGCUGGGUGUCCCCUGCCUGGCCCAUGCACUCCAGUUCCCAGUGUGGCAGCCAGAAGAGGCCCAUCUCUGUCCCCAGUUUCCAAAAAUAGCUGCUCACUCCCUAGAGCCCAGAAGUUCCCUGGGAGGUCAGUUCCGGCCCACACUGCCCCUCUUGUUCCCACCAGUCAUGGGCACCCCUCUUGCCCAGCAGGAGUCAUUCUCUAGCAUGGGGCUGAGGCUGCACGUGCGUGUGCAUGCACAGACACACACCACUGUGCACACACGCAGCCAUCAUGUGCACACAUCUGGGUGGGGACUCUGCACCCAGAGUGCCCCCAAGGAAUGAGUCAACCUGGUAGUGACCUUGACAACUCUAGGGAGUCUGCAGGCACAGCUGCUUCUCCUGAGACUGAUUGGCAACUGGGAAACCCCAGGCUGCCACAAUGCCCUGGGGGCUGGCACCUCUGUCACCAAGCGGUUGCUGCCCUCCUCGGCACAACCUCAGGGGUCAGAGGCACCCCAGGGCAGGAUUUGAUUUCCUCUCACAGAAGCUGCCAGUGCAGUCCUGUUGCUGAGGACCACAGGAGGGCUGGUUCUCAGCCCUCUGGGCAGGCAUUUCCCUGUGAGCUCCCCAGGAGACAAGGCCUCAGAUGCCCAGGGUACACCGUGUCCCUCCAGAACCCCCAAGAUGGGACAGUGCCCUUCAGAUCUCAAGGCAGCGGCCACCUAAGGCUAACUGUGCUGCCUGAGGACCGGCUGCAAAUGAAGUGGAGAGAGUCAGUGGGGAGUGGCCUGGGCUACCUGGUGCAGGUGAAGCCCAUGGCAGGGAGGAACUGGGGGGCGGCCUGGAGGCUUCUUGUCCCACGUGCACACAGGGGACUCGGAGCAGGAAGUGAUGUUGACUACCAAGAUCCCCAAGGCCACUGUUGGGGGCCUGAGCCCCUCCAAGGGCUACACCUUGCAGAUCUUCAAGCUCACUGGCUCUGGGCCUGUCCUGCUGUUGAAGACCUGAAGAGUAACUCCCUGGGCAAGAGCAGCCAGAGGCCACCAGGGGCAGCUCUGGAGCCCACCCCUUCCCACAGGGGAGCCCCAGAUCCUGAGCAGGUCUCUGACUCCAGAGUCACCUUCACCCCAAGCCAAGACCCUCCCAUUCUCGGAAUACCCAGUGUGGGUCAGCAGCAGCUUGAGCAGCACUGGUCCUGGGGCCCUGUGGCGCAGGAUCCUGCUCAACAGCCCCCAGACCUGGAGAGGCAGAGCCACUCUGUGGCCCCGGCCAGAAGGAGAGAGAAGCUGGCUGGCCCUGAGUUCCGCUGCACUCCCCCCACACCCACUGACAUGGUCUUCCUGGUGGACGGGUCCUGGAGUAUUGGCCGUGGCCACUUCCAGCACGUCAAGAACUUCCUGGCCAGUGUCAUCUCACCCUUUGAGAUUGGGCCCGAUAAAGUCCAAGUUGGCCUGACUCAAUACAGUGGAGACCCCCAGACCGAGUGGGACCUGAACUCCUUCCGCAGCAGUGGGGAGGUGCUGGCAGCUGUGCAUGGCCUCCGCUACAAGGGAGGGAACACGUUCACAGGCCUCGCCCUGACCCAUGUGCUGGGGCAGAACCUGAAACCUUCAGCCGGUCUCCGUCCAGAGGCAGCCAAAGUGGUGAUUCUCGUGACGGACGGCAAGUCCCAGGAUGAUGUGCACACUGCUGCCCGCGUCCUCAAGGACCUGGACGUUGACGUCUUCGCUGUGGGUGUGAAGAAUGCUGAUGAGGCAGAACUGAAGGUCCUGGCAUCCCAGCCCCUGGACAUCACUGUGCACAAUGUGCUGGACUUCCCCCAGCUGGCCACCCUGGCUGGCCUGCUCAGCCGCCUCAUUUGCCAGAAGGUGCAAGGCAGGAGCCUGAGCAGGGCCCCAGUCACUCCAGAAGAUGCUCCGGCCCUGGAACCCCUCCCGGGGCCCAGCAGCCUGGUCCUGACCCAGAUCACCUCCUCCAGCGUCCACGUGUCCUGGACUCCAGCCCCCCAGCUGCCCCUUGAGUAUCUGAUCGUGUGGCAGUCGUCCAGGGGUGGCACCCCCCAAGAGCUGGUGGUCGGAGGGCCCGCCUCAUCUGUGCAGCUUUGCAACCUGACCUCCAGCUCCGAGUACCUGGUCUCUGUGCUCCCUGUCUACAAGGACAGGGUUGGCAAGGGCCUGCAGGGUCUGGUGACUACAGCACCCCUGCCUCCACCGCGGGCACUGACCCUGGUGACAGCAACACCCAGGACGCUCCGCCUGGCCUGGCAGUCCUCUGCCGGGGCCACCCAGUACCUGGUUCGAUGCUUAUCAGCCUCCCCAGGGGGCAAGGAGGAAAAGAAGGAGGUGCAGGUAGGGCGGCCUGAGGUGCUGCUGGACGGCCUGGAACCAGGCAGAGACUACCAGAUCUUGGUGCAGAGCCUGCGAGGGCCAGAGGCCAGCGAGGCCCGGAGCAUCCACAUCAGGACCCCUGCCCUGGCCCCACCAAGGCACCUGGGCUUCUCAGACGUGAGCCACGACUCAGCCCGUGUGUCCUGGGAGGGCACCCAGAGGCCCAUGCGCUUGGUCAGGGUCAGCUACAUCUCCAGUGAUGGUGGUCACUCAGGGCAGACAGAGGCUCCUGGGAAUGCUACAUGGGCUGCUCUAGGACCCCUCUUCUCCUCUACCACCUACACUGUUCGUAUCACCUGCCUCUACCUUGGGGGAGGCUCCUCCACGCUGACUGGCCGUGUGACCACAAGGAAAGCCCCCAGCCCGAGCCAGCUGUCGGUGACAGAGCUGCCAGGGGAUGCAGUCAGGCUGGUGUGGGCAGCGGCAGCCUCAUCGGGCGUACUGGUCUACCAGAUCAAGUGGACACCCCUGGGAGACGGGCAGGCCCAUGAGAUCUCUGUCCCAGGAACCCUGAGCACAGCUGUCCUGCCUGACCUGGGGAAGCACACAGAGUAUGAGAUCACCAUCCUGGCCUACUACAGGGACGGGGCCCGCAGUGACCCUGUGUCCCUCCGCUACUCCCCCUCUGCAGCAAGAAGAAGUCCCCCCUCCAGCCUGGCUCUGUCCUCGGAGACUCCCAACAGCCUUCGGGUCAGCUGGACACCCCCAAGUGGCCAUGUUCUCCACUACCGGCUCACCUACACGCCUGCCACAGGCUCCAGACCUGAUCAAUCAAUCUCUGUGCCAGGGCCCAGGAACCACACCGUGCUCUCUGACUUGCUAGCUGCCACCAAGUACAAGGUCCUGGUCUCAGCUGUCUAUGGAGCAGGGGAGAGUGUGGCAGUGUCUGCCAUGGGCUGGACAGCAGCCUGCCCCACCCUCCACCUGGACAGCUCCCUCCCAGGAUUUGACUUGAUGGCAGCCUUCGGCCUGGUGGAGAAGGAGCACGCCUCUAUUCGAGGUGUGGCCAUGGAACCCUCAGCCUUGGGCCUGACCCCGACCUUCACACUCUUCAAGGAUGCCCAGCUGACACGGCGGACUAGCGACAUCCACCCAGUGGCCCUGCCGCCUGAGCACACCAUUGUCUUCCUUGUGCGCCUGCUCCCCGAGACACCCCGCGAAGCCUUUGCGCUGUGGCAGAUGACGGCUGAAGACUUUCAGCCCCUCCUCGGGGUUCUUCUGGAUGCUGGCAGAAAGUCGCUGACCUACUUCAACCAUGACCCCAGAGCUGCCUUGCAGGUGGCCACUUUCGACCUGCAGGAGGUGAAGAAGAUCUUCUUCGGGAGCUACCACAAGGUGCAUGUGGCUGUGGGACACUCCAAGGUCAGACUGUAUGUGGACUGCCAGAAGGUGGCUGAGAGGCCCAUCGGAGAGGCUAGCUCACCCACCUCUGGCUUUGUCAUGCUGGGGAGGCUGGCCAAGGCCAGGGGUCCCCGGAGCAGCUCAGCUACGUUCCAGCUUCAGAUGCUGCAGAUUGUGUGUAGUGACACCUGGGCAGAUGAGGACAAGUGCUGUGAGCUUCCUGCAUUGAGGGACGGAGAGACAUGCCCUGUCUUCCCUUCUGCCUGCACCUGCUCUUCAGAGACUCCCGGGCCCCCAGGACCUCAAGGCCCUCCAGGCCUCCCUGGGAGGAAUGGCACCCCAGGAGGACAGGGCCUCCCUGGGCCCAGGACACUUGCCAAAGGCCUCUGGACCAAGGGGGCGUAGGUGCCACAAGUACAGACUUGUUUGGCCCCACACACUGGUGCUGUCGCAGGCUCUGUGGGUGUCUGGCAGGGUCUGGCUCUGCAGAGGAGGCCGAAGAUGGUGCCCCAGUGACAGCACCACACCUGUGUGGCUUGGGAGGCGCUCCCAGCUGGGCUCUGAGAUGUUCAGAAUGUUCAGUGCGCAGGGGCUGAGAGGCUGCCUCCCCCCAGCCCCACACCCUGCCUCCCACCCUGCACCUGCCUUGGCAGAGUGUCCUGGCAGGCUGGCCCGGUCCUCCCAAUGAGCAUGCGCCGCAGAUGGUAGCCAGCUUGCAUCAGAAGGGGGAGGUCGUGAACCUCCACGGCCCACGUCUCGCCCUGUGUACCACCAACCACGUGGGCCUGGUGCUGGGCAGGAGCACAGAGCUUGGGUAUAGAAAGCCACACUGCCCCCUGGAGGCCAGGCGAGGCGGAGCAGCCUCUGUAGAGCAGGGGUGCACCCAGGGUGCCUGGCUGACACAGCGGCUGCCACCUUGCGUCCCUGUCCCUCAUGUCUGCAGCAGGCAGCCUUUCCUGUGGGAAGCAUGCCCUGGCUCCAGGGUGCCGCUGGCUUGUUUCUUCAUGGGUGCUUCACAUACUGUGCGCCAGCCUCACUCUGCGAAGGAGUCACAACUGUGUCCUUUGGCCUUGUUUGUGACAAGUGUUUUCACACAGAUGUUCCUUUUUUUUUUUUGGUACUAGGGAUUGAGCCCACUUUUACCACUGAGCCACACCCUAGCCCUUUUUAUAUUUUAUUUUAAGACAGAGUCUCUCUAAGUUGCUUAGGGCCUCCUAAAUUGUUGAGGCUGGGUUUGAACUCGUGAUCCUCCUGCCUCAGCCUCCCGAGCUGCUGGGAUUAUAGGUGUGCACCAUCGUGCCUGGAACAAGUAGCAUUUUUAUCAUUUGAAUCUUGCCCAGGAACUUGGCAUCCUUCUGUUGUCCAGGUUUCUUUUGUGACUCUCCACGAGACUUUCAAGAAGUGGCUUAUCUGGCCUGGGCUCUAGCUCACCCCAAACCUUGCAUCUUUUCGUCACAGCUGUCACCAGGCCCUUCCCUCUCGCAGUGUCUGCCUGGCGGUUUCUGCAGGGCCGUCGUCUCUGAGCAACAUUUUCCUAUCCAGCUUUCUGAAUGGAUUGUCUGUGUGAUUCUUGGUUUUCAGGGAGAGCCAGGGCCACCUGGACAGACAGGACCUGAGGGCCCUGGAGGUCAGCAGGGGUCACCAGGGACCCAGGGCCGCACAGUCCAGGGACCUGUGGGUCCACCAGGGUCAAAAGG